GGGGUUGUAGCUAAGUGGUAAAGCGCUUGCCUGGCACAUAAAAGGCACUGGGUUCAAACCUCAGCACCA
rnacentral:tRNA from 1 species